rnacentral:rRNA from 1 species
CCUACGGGAGGCAGCAGUGAGGAAUAUUGGUCAAUGGGCGGAAGCCUGAACCAGCCAAGUAGCGUGCGGGAUGAAGGCCCUACGGGUCGUAAACCGCUUUUGCACGGGGAUAACACCCUCCACUUGUGGAGGUCUGCAGGUACCGUGCGAAUAAGGGCCGGCUAAUUCCGUGCCAGCAGCCGCGGUAAUACGGAAGGCCCGAGCGUUAUCCGGAUUCAUUGGGCUUAAAGGGAGCGGAGGCGGGCGUUAAAGUCAGCUGUAAAAUUGCGCGGCUCAACCGCGCCCCGCAGUUGAAACUGGACGCCUUGAGUUCACAAGAGGUAGGCGGAAUUCGUGGUGUAGCGGUGAAAUGCAUAGAUAUCACGAGGAACCCCGAUUGCGAAGGCAGCCUGCCGGGGUGCGACUGACGCUGAGGCUCGAAGGUGUGGGUAUCAAACAGGAUUAGAUACCCCAGUAGUC